UGGGGAAUAUUGCACAGUGGGCGAAAGCCUGAUGCAGCGACGCCGCGUGAGGGAUGGAGGCCUUCGGGUUGUAAACCUCUUUCGCUCAUGGUCAAGCCGCAACACUGGUUGUGGUGAGGGUAGUGGGUAAAGAAGCGCCGGCUAACUACGUGCCAGCAGCCGCGGUAAUACGUAGGGCGCGAGCGUUGUCCGGAAUUAUUGGGCGUAAAGGGCUUGUAGGCGGUUGGUCGCGUCUGCCGUGAAAUCCUCUGGCUUAACUGGGGGCGUGCGGUGGGUACGGGCUGACUUGAGUGCGGUAGGGGAGACUGGAACUCCUGGUGUAGCGGUGGAAUGCGCAGAUAUCAGGAAGAACACCGGUGGCGAAGGCGGGUCUCUGGGCCGUUACUGACGCUGAGGAGCGAAAGCGUGGGGAGCGAACAGGAUUAGAUACCCUGGUAGUCCACGCUGUAAACGUUGGGCACUAGGUGUGGGGGCCACCCGUGGUUUCUGCGCCGUAGCUAACGCUUUAAGUGCCCCGCCUGGGGAGUACGGCCGCAAGGCUA
rnacentral:rRNA from 1 species